AUUGAACGCUGGCGGCAGGCCUAACACAUGCAAGUCGAGCGGAAACGAAGAGUAGCUUGCUACUCUGGCGUCGAGCGGCGGACGGGUGAGUAAUGCUUGGGAACAUGCCUUGAGGUGGGGGACAACAGUUGGAAACGACUGCUAAUACCGCAUAACGUCUACGGACCAAAGGGGGGGACGCUUCGGCACCUCUCGCUCAUUGAUUAGCCCAAGUGAGAUUAGCUAGUUGGUAAGGUAAUGGCUUACCAAGGCGACGAUCUCUAGCUGGUUUGAGAGGAUGAUCAGCCACACUGGGACUGAGACACGGCCCAG
rnacentral:rRNA from 1 species